rnacentral:rRNA from 1 species
AUACGUAGGUGGCGAGCGUUGUCCGGAAUUACUGGGCGUAAAGGGUGCGUAGGCGGAUAAUCAAGUCAGAUGUGAAAGUCCAUGGCUUAACUGUGGGAGUGCAUUUGAGACUGAAGAUCUAGAGUGCAGGAGAGGGAGGCGGAAUUCCUAGUGUAGCGGUGAAAUGCGUAGAUAUUAGGAAGAACACCAGUGGCGAAGGCGGCUUUCUGGACUGUAACUGACGCUGAAGCACGAAAGCGUGGGGAGCAAACAGGAUUAGAUACCCUGGUAGUCCACGCCGUAAACGAUGAGUGCUAAGUGUUAGAGGGGUUAAACCCUUUAGUGCUGUAGCUAACGCGUUAAGCACUCCGCCUGGGGAGUACGGCCGCAAGGCUGAA